rnacentral:rRNA from 1 species
GCAGUCGCCGCGGUAAUACGAAGGGUGCAAGCGUUACUCGGAAUUACUGGGCGUAAAGCGUGCGUAGGUGGUGGUUUAAGUCCGUUGUGAAAGCCCUGGGCUCAACCUGGGAAUUGCAGUGGAUACUGGGUCACUAGAGUGUGGUAGAGGAUAGUGGAAUUUCCGGUGUAGCAGUGAAAUGCGUAGAGAUCGGAAGGAACAUCUGUGGCGAAGGCGACUAUCUGGGCCAACACUGACACUGAGGCACGAAAGCGUGGGGAGCAAACAGGAUUAGAUACCCCUGUAGUCCCUGUCUCUUAUAU